rnacentral:rRNA from 1 species
UACGUAGGAUGCAAGCGUUAUCCGGAUUUACUGGGUGUAAAGGGAGCGCAGGCGGGACAUCAAGUUGGAUGUGAAAUGUCAAGGCUUAACCAUGGCACUGCAUCCAAAACUGUAGUUCUUGAGUGGAGUAGAGGUAAGCGGAAUUCCGAGUGUAGCGGUGAAAUGCGUAGAUAUUCGGAGGAACACCAGUGGCGAAGGCGGCUUACUGGGCUCUAACUGACGCUGAGGCUCGAAAGUGUGGGGAG